rnacentral:rRNA from 1 species
UACAGAGGGGGCAAGCGUUGUUCGGAAUUACUGGGCGUAAAGGGCGCGUAGGUGGCCUUCUAAGUUGAACGUGAAAUCCCUGGGCUCAACCCAGGAACUGCGUCCAAAACUGGGAGGCUUGAAUCCGGGAGAGGGAUGCGGAAUUCCAGGUGUAGCGGUGAAAUGCGUAGAUAUCUGGAGGAACACCGGUGGCGAAGGCGGCAUCCUGGACCGGUAUUGACACUGAGGCGCGAAAGCCAGGGGAGCAAACGGG